rnacentral:rRNA from 1 species
CAGUCGCCGCGGUAAUACAGAGGAUCCAAGCGUUAUCCGGAAUCAUUGGGUUUAAAGGGUCCGUAGGCGGUCUUGUAAGUCAGUGGUGAAAGCCCAUCGCUCAACGGUGGAACGGCCAUUGAUACUGCAGGACUUGAAUUAUUGGGAAGUAACUAGAAUAUGUAGUGUAGCGGUGAAAUGCUUAGAGAUUACAUGGAAUACCAAUUGCGAAGGCAGGUUACUACCAAUUGAUUGACGCUGAUGGACGAAAGCGUGGGUAGCGAACAGGAUUAGAUACCCCGGUAGUCCCUGUCUCUUAUAC